rnacentral:rRNA from 1 species
GACGAAGGGGGCUAGCGUUGUUCGGAAUUACUUGGGCGUAAAGCGCGUGUAGGCGGUUGUUCAAGUCAGGUGUGAAAGCCUUGAGCUCAACUCAAGAAAUGCACUUGAUACUGGAUGACUAGAGGACCGGAGAGGAUAGUGGAAUUCCCAGUGAUAGUGGUGAAAUACGUAGAGAUUGGGAAGAACACCAGUGGCGAAGGCGGCUAUCUGGACGGUUUCUGACGCUAAGACGCGAAAGCGUGGGAGCAACAGG